CACAAUCAGAACCUAUGACUUGGGAGCUCUUUCUCUGAGAAAAACAGAAAGAGGAUCAGUGACAAGUCCGGGCUGCAGAUAUAAAUUUGGGCGUCGUCAUCAUCAUAUAGAUGGUAAUUAAAGCCUUGGGAGAAGAUGAGAUCACCCAAUGAAGGCAUAUAGAACAAGCGAAUAUGUAACUCCAUCAAGAGAUCCAGAACAGAUGGAUGCUGUUUCUUAGGGGAUAAAUGGAGUUGUUUGUUUUUUUAACUUAAAAAGUAAAGUAACUGUUUGAACAACAAAAGAAGAACAACAACAACAACAAGAAAAAAAAAUCCAAAGAGGCAUUUUCAAUAUCUUAAAAUCAAGUUAUAAUUGAUACAAUCUUUAACAAAGAACAAUUUGGCAAUAAAGAACAAUGACAGCUUAGAGGAAACUGACCAAAAAGGUCUGGGGAAAUGACAGGGAACAGCAUCUUGUGUCCCUUGGAACUUCCAUUCUAGUAAUGAGAGAUGGUCACUCAACAGGAAAAAAUUACAACUGAAAGACAGUGGAGAAUGGAGCCAUAGGAGGGCAAGAGUGGAUAUAGACCACCACCAUCCAGGACAGCGAUGACAAGCACUUGGACUGGAGUGGUAGCACUGCAGAGAGAGGCAGAGACCUAGGCAGAAGGAGAAGCAGGCUCCAUGCAGGAAGCCAAAUGUGGGACUCGACUCUGAGACCCCAGGAUCAUCCCCUGAGCCAAAGGCAGAUGCUCAACCACUGAGCCACCCAGGCAUCCCAAUAAUUGAACUUUUGAAUAAAUGUGUGCAUUUACUGUCUA